CCUAGCCCCCCAGUCCCCAGCCGCCACACCCCUCACCCCUCCCUUCUCACUCCCUCGCCACACUGUCGCACCAUCUCCCUCAUCACCAGCCACCGCAACAGGAGAUUUGCCGCUCCUCCUCCAUCAUCACCAGCCACAGCACCAGGAGAUCUUCCACCCACGAGAUCCAGCGCCUUGCAAGGUCCCCGGGUCGGCCUUCUCGCGCCCGUCACUCUGUUGACCAGAUAUGCACCCUUACUCUCUCUUCUCUCGCGUCGUGCGAUGCCUGCUGCUCCACCAUGCCGCGGUUAACUCAUGGAUGAUGGGGCCAUGGACCGGUCCUUGAAGGAGAGAAGGAAGACGGGGAGAGAGAAGGAAGGAGAGAAGGGAGAAGGAGAGAGGAAAGAGGAGAGGGAGGUGCAGCGGCGGAUGGGAGAUGGUCAUCGGCCGGCAUCUCCUCCCCUUCUCUUCUCACCAUCUCCUCUUCUUUGGAGCUAGCUGAGUGAUCCACGGUGAGGAAGAUGUGGAAGACAGAGCCAGCAAGGAAGACAACUCGUCCCUGUCGCCGUUGCCCACGGGCCACUUCAGUCAGGUGCCUUCCAUUCUUCCUCCCUCAGGAUUUUCAAUCCAAGAUUAGUUUUCCUUUGUAUCUAUAUAUGCUUCUACAUAAUACUCCCUCCGUUCCAAAAUAGAUGACCCAACUUUGUACUAAAGUUAGUAUAAAGUUGAGUCAUCUAUUUUAGAACGGAGGGAGUAUAUGGUUUCUGUACUCUGCGCUUGACAAAAUGACAAGGCCUUGCAGCAGAGCAUAAAAUGGAGCCGGCAACAGGGAUCAUGGGAAAAACAACGGUGGCUGAACAGUGGACACCCGAAGCUGGCCGAGAAAGAGGGAGGCAGUGCGGGGCGGAAGAGGGCGUCCAUGUGGUAUCCGUUUCUGCUCAUCUUCAGCUUGCAGGUUGCUGAAUUUUCUCCUCUUUUUCUGGUUUGCUUUGAUCAGUAGAACAAGUCACAAAUGAAGGCUUCUAUGUGCAGGGGUUAUACUUUACAUACUUCCCUGUGGUGUGCAAACAUUUCUGGAAGGUACUUACUUUCCUUGAUUGGACAGAAUAUAUGUUGUGAAGAAAUUAUAAAUCACCUUACAAAUUGACCACGCCACCGCCUUGAUUCGCUAGCCGCCGCCUAGAGUCACCCUGCUGCCGUCUCAAGCAAAACCAUGCAUUAACUCCACCACUGCAGCCAGGAAUCCCUUCCCUGUCAAGCUUACUUCCUCUGAAUCCCGGCUCUACCUGGUUCUCCUGCCGUGCUUAUUACAUGUGUGAUGUGUGCGUGCUUGCUACCUUGCUACUGGGUACUUUGUCGCUGGGUGUUGAGCCGCUGAUGUCCUGAUGCCGAUGCUUUGUUGUAUAUAUAUUUGUAUAAUGCUUGUAUCUUGCUUUGCUCUAAACUGACUGUUUUCCUUGUUGUGGCUGACCUGCUGAUAUUGCUGCUUUGCUGGCCAGGGAGUAAGUUCACUGACAUACAGACACAAGAGAUAUUCAGUUAUGUUGUUGGGGAAAUUAAUGAUCAUUCAGUCAACAAAUGAGGCAUUAUCUUGAUCUCAUUUCAUCUCAGGCAUUGAUUAUUUGUUGUCUUCUUUGCAUGCAUUUUAUUAAUUAUUUAUACAUACUUGCCGUAUCUUUGUGCUGUUGUUUUUACAAAAUGUCGUAUCCUGUGUGCCCGUUUCCAUAUCGUCGUAUGUAUGUUGCUGUACGGUGCUUCAUAGCAAAAACUUACAUUACUAAAGAAAGUGUUCCUUUUCUUGUUACAUUGCUCUAUAAGCAUGAUCAUGUUUCUACUGAUUGAUUAUACAUAUGAUCUUUCUUUUGAUUAUUUUGCGGUAUUUCUAAUUGACACUAUGAGGUGCUUCCUUGUCAUGCAGAUUCAUCCUUUACUUAAAUACUGAUGAUGAUAUGGUUGUAAAUUAGUCUGGUAUAUGCCAAUAGUUGUCUCUCCCAGAAGAUUUUUUGUCAGAAUAGCUUACUAAAGAUUUGGUUGCUUGUCUAGAUUUUACACCCAACUAUAAGAAUGGGUUGACAACACUGAUUGGCUCUAUUGCGCUUCUAUGUUGUCUAGAUGCAUCAUUUAAUUAUACACUGAUGAUAUUGUUGUAGCUAAACAAAUGGGUGAAAACCACAUCAACCCAGCUAUAAGAAUGCAAUCUUAUGAUUCAUACUCACCUAUGGCUGCUAUAUUGUACAUUCUUUUGAUGAAACUAUACUGUACAUUUAAUAACCUGACUUCUUCCAUGAGAGAGCACUUAUUAGAGGUUUAACUGAGUGAGAUGGGGUUUAGGGACAAGAAGAGGAACCACAUCGGGUGCUCUUGCAAUGCUUGGCUGACUCCCAAGACUGCGAGGGGAAGGACUUCCUGGUGUGUGUGUGAUUUCCUUCGGACCAAAUGAACCUAACAGAAAGUCAGAAACACGCACACAUGCAUUUUAUUCUUGUCCCUGAUGCUGUGUUGUUAUUGGUGUAGCCGCUGGAGGGGAAAGAGCAGAGGAUGUCUUGGGGGCUUGAUCGGUUUAUCUGUCUGUGCAGGGAUGGCAAGGCAGCUUGAAGGUGGUCACGCCCAUCUCGCGGAGAUGGUGCAAGCUGUCAAGAAUCACGGUGCUGGGGCACUGCACUUCGCCUCCGGGUGCAAGAUGGCGGAAGUGUGCGAGUACCUGUUGAGGUUGUCCAGGUGGACGUGGAUGCUGUUGACCAAGCAGGGCAUUGUGAAAUAGUAGAACUCUUGCUCUCUAGGGGUGCUUAUGUCGAUCUAUUUUAUAUGGAUCAUGGGACACCAUUGCAUGGUAAACAUAAGCAGGAUGCAACCGUGAAGAUUUUGUUGGAUCACCAUUCAGAUGUACAUACUACUAUUAAUUAACUCCCAUGUUCAGUGUUUGGGACAAGUGGCAUGCACUAUCACGUCUGUAUGAUAUGGCCGAGUUUAGAUGAAAUAGUUUUGCAUGUUUGAUAUAUCUUAGUAAAUUAUGGGUUUGAUCUCCAAAUGUGCUUGAACAUAAUAAGUUAAGGAAGAUGCUUGGUUUAUUUGAGCAAAGAGGUUGUACAGAUACUAUCUAAAUGGUGUGGAUGCUUUUCGCUUGAAAAGAUGGAAAGGAAGUUGUUUUUCUUGUGUUC